UUACAGAAUUUCAAAGAGAGGUCAUAAGAAAGUUACAAUUAUUACUCAAUAAAAUGACUGUUUUGGAGAAUAGAAUGGUCUUAUUGGAAACAUCAAGCUUGAUGCGGCAUUGUAAUUAUGAAGCAGCCGAUGUUAUACAGUAUGAGGAGUAUGAUCUGCCAUUGGAAACUAUAGCGGCAUUAAAACAUUUAGAGGAAUUAUUAAAAGAUAGAUCAUUCGCAGAUAAAAUGAAUCACGGAUGGAUGGAUCCCAUAGGUGAACACGCUGAAACAAGUGGGUGGAGUAAAUGUGUUCAACAUCAUACCAAAUAUAUUACAAAAAUUACUAAGCGACCAGCUUGCAGAGAGUUUUAGUUAUCUGGGACAUCGAAACAAAAGAAAUUUCAGUGCUCUACAUUUGUGCUCAAUUCUGAAGAGAGUGGUACGAAUCCAUAAACCGGAAUCGAGUGACAAACAAAUAGCCGAAAUUACAUCGAGUUGGCUGGUGCAUGCUAAGUGGCGACAACAAAGAGCACAGACAAAAAUGAGAAAACAACAGCAACGCGAAGCUGUCUUCGAAGAUGUCUCCGAAGAAGAACAUGCGAGCCGUCCAUAAAUUUUAUAUGUUACUUUAUUAUAUAAGUAGUUUAUUAUAUAACAUAAUAUAUAAUAUACAUUAUAAUAACAUAAUAUAAAUAUUAUAUAUAUUGUGCAAUAGAUAAGUAAAAAUGUGCAGUA